AAAUCUGAGACGGGAAGAGAUAUGGAGAAAGCAGUUAGACACAGGAAUAACACAUCUGUAGAUCCAGUACUCCGGGAACGAAAGUGAAAGGAACAUUAUUUUCAAAGGAAACAAUGAUAAGCACAAGACCUCUGAAGACGGACAUGUGAACCUUGGUGUUGGAACUGGUGAGCUGGGCUGCUCUUUCCAGGAUGGCUUUGUGGUUCUUGGAGGAAUUGUUGUGAGCAAUCUCAGCACAGUAAGGAUAAUCUUGAAUUCUUGGAAUCAAGUGAUCCUCCUGCCUCAGCCUCCCCAGUAGCUGGAAGCAUACACAUGCACCACUGCACCUGGCUUUUUGCAAGUUUUUCAAUGUUAUUCAACUGUGGGCUAGUAACAUCCUACAUAGCAGCAUCUCUCUCAAACAAUUUCACUAGCUUUCAAACACUUUAAGGAGCACUGGUUUGGAGCAUAAUAAAUCCCUAAUGGGACCCUGAAGCACGAUGACAUCCAAAAAGAUUUCUGAAACAAAUCCCAGAAGAUAUCCUACUGGUCGUUUACCAAAAUAAACAUAAAUGGAAUACGGACAAUGAUGUUGAUAAGUUAUUUCUAUACAAUUCCACCAGGGCUGAUCUUUAAGCAACACAA